rnacentral:rRNA from 1 species
UACGUAGGAACCAAACGUUGUCCGGAUUUACUGGGCGUAAAGGGCGUGUAGGCGGUUUAUUAAGUCUUAUGCGAAAUCUCAUGGCUCAACCAAGAGAAGAUAUAGGAUACUGAUAGACUUGAGUUCAGCAGAGGAAAGCGGAAUUCCCGGAGUAGUGGUGACAUGCGUAGAUACCGGGAGGAACACCAGAGGCGAAGGCGGCUUUCUGGGUUGAAACUGACGCUGAGGCGCGAAAGCAUGGGUAGCAAAC